rnacentral:misc_RNA from 1 species
GUAUUGAUUGCGUGUGACCGCAAAAGAAAAAACAUUCUACACUGUAUCAAGUUUUAUGUGAAAACGCAAGCCCUCCUGCAAAGGGGGGCCCACGCGGUGAUGCACAAAAGGGGUGAGAUGGAUGUGUGAGAGCACUCGAGCGUGCACAACCUUUGAAGGUCAGCGACAGCUCUUUGUGCCUCGGUUUUACAAUAAUGAUCCUUCCGCAGGUUCACCUACGGAAA